UUUAAGUGGAGAGUUUGAUCCUGGCUCAGAAUGAACGCUGGCGGCGUGCCUAACACAUGCAAGUCGAACGAGAAAUUUCUGCUUCGGCGGAAAGAGUAAAGUGGCGCACGGGUGAGUAACGCGUGGGUAAUCUGCCCCUGAAUCCGGGAUAACUUCGCGAAAGCGUUGCUAAUACCGGAUACUGUCCCUUUGGCUGUGGCCAUGGGGAUGAAAGGUGACCUCUUCAUGAAAGUUGCCGUUCAGGGAGGGGCCCGCGUACCAUUAGCUUGUUGGUGGGGUAACGGCCUACCAAGGCGACGAUGGUUAGCUGGUCUGAGAGGAUGAUCAGCCACACUGGAACUGAAACACGGUCCAGACUCCUACGGGAGGCAGCAGUGAGGAAUUUUGCGCAAUGGGGGAAACCCU
rnacentral:rRNA from 1 species